CCUGGGAUAGCUCAGUGGGUAGAGAAUGAGGCUCUUAAUCUCAGGGUCGUGGGUUCGAAUUCCACGUCAGGG